UAAGUCUCCACCCGGCCAAGGCUAGCCACCAGCCGGUAGCGAGUGUUGCGUGGUGUCGGGUAACCGCCACUGCGAAGCGUACGCAGCGAGUGGAUAGGCCGUACGAUUGAGCACCGAAAGCAUCCUAGUCGCGGUCGUCGACAGGCUUACGGUCCUGGAAGGCAACACUGACCCAUCGUACAGGCUUGAUGGGAAAGGGCCGCCGAUGUCGUAGAACA
rnacentral:ncRNA from 1 species